AGGUCCACCCAAUCUUCCCUCAUCGGUAGCCUUCGCAAGGGUUUUCUUCCACCCCUUCCCUUUGUCAUUUCAUUUUGUAGAUCUACUUUUUUCUUGGCGACCUCGCAUCGGUGGAUCUUCGCAAGGCAUGGAUCUGUUCGCUGGUUGUCGUUUCGGAUCAUUUCCGGCGCCGAUUCUGGUGGCUAGUUUCGAUUCUUACAGAGGAAGAUUUUCUGAUUUCUCGGAGCACGUAGAAGUUGGAAAUGAUGUCGAACUCUGAUUUCUACUUUUCGAACCAUCGUGUGGUUCCGUUCCUCACUGAAUCGCCGGCGCAGGUUCCCGUCUAUUCACUGUGAGGCGGUUCAUCGUGACGGAUGUAGCUGUUCAUGGCGCUCGUUUGAUCUCGCAAGACUGAUGUAGCAGAACUCUAUUGGCUAUUGGAUUGAUGGAUGCUGUAACUUGUAUCAUAAUUUUGAAAGCAUCGGAGAGCGUAGAUGAGCGUUACUCUGGAUGUAAAAGAUAUCGGGAAAAACUUCCUAUUUGUGGAGGAUGAAUCCUGAUGUAUCUUUGUCAUCCGACCUUUGCCUUGACAGGUGCGCUUGCAUGGCAGGUCAUCCAUAAUAAAAAAAUAGUACUGUUUUGGUUUUGAGGGGAGAUCGCACGGAGUUUGCCCGGGGUCUCCUCUCGAUGGUGUGUUUUCUUCUUGUUCUCUCUUUCUCUCAGUUCGUUUCUACAACUGCCACCGCCAGCAACCGCUGCUCGGAUCAUAGCUUUUUACCUGAUUUCUCUCCGCUCACGCCAAGGUAUUUUCUGACGAUUCUCUUGCACAUAAAACUAUCAUGAAAAAAGUCACACGUAAAAAAGAAAAUUAGCGUUCGCAUAUUUUUUUCGUUACCUAAUCUGCUAUUUUAUGUUCAAAAAAGGAAUUGCUAUUAAUAAUUGAUCUGCAGAUUUUACUUCCUAAUGCAAUUGUCAUAUAUUCUUAUCGUCUUCUAUUCCCAUAUGCAUAUUAAUCUUUCAUAAUCAUGUAUACGGUGUUUUUAAUCCUUUAUAAUCAUUUAUGUCAAAUGUUUUUAUUUGUAGUAAUUUUAUCUGGAGAAGUGUUUUAAUCCAUCAUAAUCGCGCUGAGGAUUUAAUUGUUCUUAUCCACAAUAAAUAAGCACAUGGGUUACAAAUCUUGAACUGGUUUUGAGAGGUAAUGGUGUCUUUUGGGGAUGUUUCAUGUUUUCCAGUAACAGUUUAUGCAAAUAUGUGAGGAGUCGUCAAUUGUUUCUAAGGUAAAUAGAAUUCCAACGUUGUACGAAUUAUUCUGAUAAUUGCAGUGAUUAGUUUCUUGAUAUUGACGAAUAAUUUAACUAAAAAUCAUCUCUUGUAAUUGUCGUUCAUGAGUGUCCAUUUUCCUAAUUUCUACGAGGAUGCCUAUACUUUAAAAUUUGUGUAGUAUACAUCUGCUUAAUUUAUCAAUGAUUCACGCCUUUUUUACCUACGCAAAUAAGUUCUUUUAUCGCUUUAUGGUUCCUGUGCUGUUCAUUAUUUAUACUUCCAAUCCUCCAGUUCACGAUGUGUAGAACAAUGAUUAUCACUGAAUGUUUUUAUGAAUUUGUCCAGCACUUGUAACGUUUGUACAUAAUGGUCUUUGAAAUAUUUCAAGUCUGUUACGUUAUAGUAUUAGUUCCAUUAUUGGUUUUGGAAAAUCUGGUGUCAUUCUGAUAGCCCAGAACUGGACGCUUGGUGUUGGAAGUUAAAGCUGUCAGACCUGGAUGGAUCUAGAAGCUCGGCCAUUAUAACUUGGACGUGAUGAAAGAAAGGUUUAAUUAAGUUAUUUUUGAACUUUUACUACUGAAACUUGAGUAUAUUCAGUAUGCUUAUACUUCGUAAUAGAUUAUUUGCUUCUUGUUACUUUUCCGAGCGGGUAUUGCCCUUCACUGAAUUGGGGGUGUGUGCACGAAGAGUUGGUCUAUCUGAAUUCAGAGUUUUGGAGGGUUCUAUUCCUCGUUUUAUGCUUGGUUCAAGUUUAUUCAGUUUCAUGAUUUUGUAGAUUUCGAUUUUGAUUGUUUUAGUUCAUUCAAUGAAAAUAGUACAUUCAACA